rnacentral:rRNA from 1 species
GAAAGAUUCAUCGGAAGAGGAUGGGCAUGCGGCGCAUUAGCUAGACGGCGGGGUAACGGCCCACCGUGGCGACGAUGCGUAGGGGUUCUGAGAGGAAGGUCCCCCACACUGGUACUGAGACACGGACCAGACUCCUACGGGAGGCAGCAGUGAGGAAUAUUGGUCAAUGGGAGAGAUCCUGAACCAGCCAAGCCGCGUGAGGGAAGACGGCCCUAUGGGUUGUAAACCUCUUUUGUCGGAGAACAAAACCCGGGACGUGUCCCGGACUGCGUGUAUCCGAAGAAAAAGCAUCGGCUAACUCCGUGCCAGCAGCCGCGGUAAUACGGAGGAUGCGAGCGUUAUCCGGAUUUAUUGGGUUUAAAGGGUGCGUAGGCGGUCCGUUAAGUCAGCGGUAAAAUUGCGGGGCUCAACCCCGUCGAGCCGUUGAAACUGGCAGACUUGAGUUGGCGAGAAGUACGCGGAAUGCGCGGUGUAGCGGUGAAAUGCAUAGAUAUCGCGCAGAACUCCGAUUGCGAAGGCAGCGUACCGGCGCCAGACUGACGCUGAGGCACGAAAGCGUGGGGAUCGAACAGGAUUAGAUACCCUGGUAGUCCACGCAGUAAACGAUGAAUGCUGGUUGCCCGGGUCGAAUGAGAUCUGG